ensembl:ncRNA lncRNA:CR43622 long non-coding RNA:CR43622
AUCAAAUCUUGGGGAUAUAUGUUGGUAUCUAUUCAUAAUAAGCGGCGUCGCAUGUGCUCGAAUGACUCCAGACUAAAGGAAGAACAAUGUAUUGAAAUAAUUGUGUGUGCUCAUACAUGAACGAGCCGGGCUCCAAAGGAAAAUGGUUGAUGGGCUGGAGUGGUGGAGGGGGGAAGGGGCUGGAGGCCAAUCGAAAGAAAAAUCAUGUGUAUUUUUGUACACGCUACUUGCCCCAAAGGGACUGCGAGGCAUCUGACACAGCCAAUACAAGGCGGCAUCAAUAAAUGAUUUCACAAAGGCACACACAAUAAAAGACUAAGGAAAAGCGAGUGCCAGAGCAGCGAAAUGAAACGAAACGAAGUAAAAUGAAAUGAAAACCCCCGCAAAGGUCAUGAAAACAUCAUUGUCGGCGACACACAACACACAACUCACACACACACACGCAGAUCAACUGAGAAGACCCAAAGUCAAAGAGACCAUAUGAACGGAUUCGGAGUUACUGGAGACCCAGCGGGCGUGUUGAGAAAUGUGCGGUUUAAAAAUAAAAUCCAAGACAAGAUUGUGCCACAUGGGUGCUCGAG